GCCGAUGUAGCUCAGCUGGCAGAGCAACGCUUUCGUAAAGCGUGGGUCGUCGGUUCGAAUCCGACCAUCGGCU
rnacentral:tRNA from 1 species